UACACACCUGCGGGAGGCAGCAGUGGGGAAUUUUGGACAAUGGGCGAAAGCCUGAUCCAGCAAUGCCGCGUGUGUGAAGAAGGCCUUCGGGUUGUAAAGCACUUUUGUCCGGAAAGAAAUCCUUGGCUCUAAUACAGUCGGGGGAUGACGGUACCGGAAGAAUAAGCACCGGCUAACUACGUGCCAGCAGCCGCGGUAAUACGUAGGGUGCGAGCGUUAAUCGGAAUUACUGGGCGUAAAGCGUGCGCAGGCGGUUUGCUAAGACCGAUGUGAAAUCCCCGGGCUCAACCUGGGAACUGCAUUGGUGACUGGCAGGCUAGAGUAUGGCAGAGGGGGGUAGAAUUCCACGUGUAGCAGUGAAAUGCGUAGAGAUGUGGAGGAAUACCGAUGGCGAAGGCAGCCCCCUGGGCCAAUACUGACGCUCAUGCACGAAAGCGUGGGGAGCAAACAGGAUUAGAUACCCGUGUAGUCCCA
rnacentral:rRNA from 1 species